rnacentral:lncRNA from 1 species
AGGGGCCGCGCCCGGCGCGACCCCACGGGGGGGAUCCCGCGCCGGCGGCGACACGAGAGGAGCCACCUGCCGAGAGCCCCCGGCGAAGAAGUACUGCCUUCCCUGGACAAGACAGGACUGCGCUCAAGUGCAUCCCAGUGACUUCGGAAAGAUCAGUCGGCACAGCGCCCCAAGAUAAGCUCCGUAAGGGGUUGUACCUGAGAGCUCCUUGACUCAAGCUCUUUUCCCAGACGAGCCCGUGAAGCUUUGAUCUGGCUCCAGGUCCCUGCCCGCUCCGCACAGCUGAGAGCCCACCACCGAGGCAGAGGUCCUGGCUCUGGAGGCCUUUCCAGCCCUGGCCAGGUUACCUCCCAAAAUAUAAAUCUUUGGAGGAUCUGCCUCACAGUCCCCAGCUCUGGCAUCCCUGCUGGCAGCGGCCAUGGUGCCUGGAAAGGGGAGAAGAGCCACCAGCCUGGGGUGCACCUCACACUCCAGCCCUCCCCACCGCUUCCCAGUGCAGCCCCCACCAGGGACUCCUCCAAAGGAUGAUGGAAAACAAUAACAUUGGUAAUAGCUGAUCUGGAUGCGCCUCAAAUAUCUGCCCCAUGAUACAAAUGCUUGUGGUUAUCCCACGAACCAUCCUCCCGACAAAUGUUUUGAAUUAUGGGUUUCCAGGAACGAGAUGUC